ACGGAAGGCAGCAGUGGGGAAUAUUGGGCAAUGGGGGGAACCCUGACCUAGCAACGCCGCGUGGAGGAAGAAGGUUUUCGGAUCGUAAACUCCUGUCCUUGGUGAAGAGCAGAAGACGGUAGCCAAGGAGGAAGCCCCGGCUAACUACGUGCCAGCAGCCGCGGUAAUACGUAGGGGGCAAGCGUUGUCCGGAAUGAUUGGGCGUAAAGGGCGCGUAGGCGGCCCGGUAAGUCUGGAGUGAAAGUCCUGCCUUUAAGGUGGGAAUUGCUUUGGAUACUGUCGGGCUUGAGUGCAGGAGAGGUAAGUGGAAUUCCCAGUGUAGCGGUGAAAUGCGUAGAGAUUGGGAGGAACACCAGUGGCGAAGGCGACUUACUGGACUGUAACUGACGCUGAGGCGCGAAAGUGUGGGGAGCAAACAGGAUUAGAUACCCUGGUA
rnacentral:rRNA from 1 species